UGACUGCGUACCUUUUGUAUAAUGGGUCAGCGACUUAUAUUCUGUAGCAAGGUUAACCGAAUAGGGGAGCCGGAGGGAAACCGAGUCUUAAUUGGGCGUUAAGUUGCAGGGUAUAGACCCGAAACCCGGUGAUCUAGCCAUGGGCAGGUUGAAGGUUGGGUAACACUAACUGGAGGACCGAACCGACUAAUGUUGAAAAAUUAGCGGAUGACCUGUGGCUGGGGGUGAAAGGCCAAUCAAACCGGGAGAUAGCUGGUUCUCCCCGAAAGCUAUUUAGGUAGCGCCUCGUGAAUUCAUCUCCGGGGGUAGAGCACUGUUUCGGCUAGGGGGCCAUCCCGGCUUACCAACCCGAUGCAAACUGCGAAUACCGGAGAAUGUUAUCACGGGAGACACACGGCGGGUGCUAACGUCCGUCGUGAAGAGGGAAACAACCCAGACCGCCAGCUAAGGUCCCAAAGUCAUGGUUAAGUGGGAAACGAUGUGGGAAGGCCCAGACAGCCAGGAUGUUGGCUUAGAAGCAGCCAUCAUUUAAAGAAAGCGUAAUAGCUCACUGGUCGAGUCGGCCUGCGCGGAAGAUGUAACGGGGCUAAACCAUGCACCGAAGCUGCGGCAGCGAACGUAUCACCCAAGACAACUUUACGGAGUUGACGAUUGACGGAGCGAAGCGACGUCAAAGCGUUCAUUAAAGUCGAGUUGGCUUAGGGAUACGUUCGUUGGGUAGGGGAGCGUUCUGUAAGCCUGUGAAGGUGUGUCGUGAGGCAUGCUGGAGGUAUCAGAAGUGCGAAUGCUGACAUAAGUAACGAUAAAGCGGGUGAAAAGCCCGCUCGCCGGAAGACCAAGGGUUCCUGUCCAACGUUAAUCGGGGCAGGGUGAGUCGACCCCUAAGGCGAGGCCGAAAGGCGUAGUCGAUGGGAAACGGGUUAAUAUUCCCGUACUUGGUGUUACUGCGAAGGGGGGACGGAGAAGGCUAUGUUGGCCGGGCGACGGUUGUCCCGGUUUAAGCGUGUAGGUGUGUGUUCCAGGUAAAUCCGGUUCACUUUAACACUGAGGCGUGACGACGAGGCACUACGGUGCUGAAGCAACAAAUGCCCUGCUUCCAGGAAAAGCCUCUAAGCAUCAGGUAACAUCAAAUCGUACCCCAAACCGACACAGGUGGUCAGGUAGAGAAUACCAAGGCGCUUGAGAGAACUCGGGUGAAGGAACUAGGCAAAAUGGUGCCGUAACUUCGGGAGAAGGCACGCUGACACGUAGGUGAAGUGAUUUACUCAUGGAGCUGAAGUCAGUCGAAGAUACCAGCUGGCUGCAACUGUUUAUUAAAAACACAGCACUGUGCAAACACGAAAGUGGACGUAUACGGUGUGACGCCUGCCCGGUGCCGGAAGGUUAAUUGAUGGGGUCAGCGCAAGCGAAGCUCCUGAUCGAAGCCCCGGUAAACGGCGGCCGUAACUAUAACGGUCCUAAGGUAGCGAAAUUCCUUGUCGGGUAAGUUCCGACCUGCACGAAUGGCGUAAUGAUGGCCAGGCUGUCUCCACCCGAGACUCAGUGAAAUUGAACUCGCUGUGAAGAUGCAGUGUACCCGCGGCAAGACGGAAAGACCCCGUGAACCUUUACUAUAGCUUGACACUGAACAUUGAGCCUUGAUGUGUAGGAUAGGUGGGAGGCUUUGAAGUGUGGACGCCAGUCUGCAUGGAGCCGACCUUGAAAUACCACCCUUUAAUGUUUGAUGUUCUAACGUGGACCCGUAAUCCGGGUUGCGGACAGUGUCUGGUGGGUAGUUUGACUGGGGCGGUCUCCUCCUAAAGAGUAACGGAGGAGCACGAAGGUUGGCUAAUCCUGGUCGGACAUCAGGAGGUUAGUGCAAUGGCAUAAGCCAGCUUGACUGCGAGCGUGACGGCGCGAGCAGGUGCGAAAGCAGGUCAUAGUGAUCCGGUGGUUCUGAAUGGAAGGGCCAUCGCUCAACGGAUAAAAGGUACUCCGGGGAUAACAGGCUGAUACCGCCCAAGAGUUCAUAUCGACGGCGGUGUUUGGCACCUCGAUGUCGGCUCAUCACAUCCUGGGGCUGAAGUAGGUCCCAAGGGUAUGGCUGUUCGCCAUUUAAAGUGGUACGCGAGCUGGGUUUAGAACGUCGUGAGACAGUUCGGUCCCUAUCUGCCGUGGGCGCUGGAGAACUGAGGGGGGCUGCUCCUAGUACGAGAGGACCGGAGUGGACGCAUCACUGGUGUUCGGGUUGUCAUGCCAAUGGCACUGCCCGGUAGCUAAAUGCGGAAGAGAUAAGUGCUGAAAGCAUCUAAGCACGAAACUUGCCCCGAGAUGAGUUCU
rnacentral:rRNA from 2 species